GGAAAGGUAGCGAAGAGGCCGUAACGCGCUCGACUCGAAAUCGAGUUAUCGGUGAUGAGCCGGUACGUGGGUUCGAAUCCCACCCUUUCCGCCA
rnacentral:tRNA from 1 species